UACGAGGGGGGGCGAGCGUUGUUCGGAAUUAUUGGGCGUAAAGGGUGCGUAGGCGGCCUGACAAGUCUGAUGUGAAAUCCCUGGGCUCAACCCAGGGCCUGCAUCGGAAACUGUCGGGCUUGAGUAUGGGAGAGGUGAGUGGAAUUUCCGGUGUAGCGGUGAAAAUGCGUAGAUAUCGGAAGGAACACCGAUGGCGAAGGCAGGUCGUCUGGGCUGACACUGACGCUCAUGCACGAAAGCGUGGGGAGCAAACAGG
rnacentral:rRNA from 1 species